rnacentral:lncRNA from 1 species
AGUCAACGGGUACUGCUAUCACUGUUGCAGCAAUUGGCAUGUGAUAUUGGGAAUAAUACAUCUAAGAAACUUGGUUGGAUGAUGGAUCUGGUGGUGGUGAUUAAACCAACCGAUGGGAUCAUCACAAUGUAUAUAAGGCCCAUAUUUGAACAAGUGUACUCGAUCAGAUGAUUGUUCCCACAACUUUAGUUGCUGAGCUUUCCAGUAUUCGUGUGGUCACGAAACUCAUAAACUCGACGUUAAGGAGCAUGUGAUCUUCAGUAUACAUGCAUGUAUACAUGCAUGUGGUUUAUGCAAGAUUUCAUUUUUAUGUAAUCAUCAACUUAGCAAGACAACAUGAAAUGCUGGUGCUAUAGUAGGUUGUGCAAAUUUACUAAUUUGCCCCAGUCUCUUUUCACUUAUGCUAACAAUAUAAAGAUGAACCUGGAUAAUUUCUAAAAUCGUUCUAUUGAAAAUACAUAUCGUGGUUCGGGUCACUUUAUGUUCUCAUCAGUAAUCUUGGUUAAACCGAUCAGAAUCUCAGAUAAUCAAUCGUCUUCAAAGAUGAUUUAGAUCAACUACUUAUCAUUAAACUGUAUAUAUGAAUAUUCUUGAGAGGAACAGUGACGUUUUUUUAGCAUUGUAAUCUAACAGGUGUUGUUGGGCUUCAAUCUUCAGUGUAAAGCUAGCAAUUAGGCUCAUUUACACUUUGUAUAACAACAUGCAUUUACAUCUUAACUAUAGAAGCAUGUUUGGUAUAUACUAACCUGGUAUGUUUCUG